GGGGAAUCCGACUGUUUAAUU
rnacentral:ncRNA from 3 species